AUUGAACGCUGGCGGCCGGCUUAACACAUGCAAGUCGAACGAGUGGCGGACGGGUGAGUAAUGCUUGGGAAUCUAGCUUAUGGAGGGGGCUAACUACGGGAAACUGUAGCUAAUACCGCGUACCAUAGGAUGAUCCCAAGUGGGAUUAGGUAGUUGGUGAGGUAAAGUCUCACCAAGCCGACGAUCUCUAGCUGGUCUGAGAGGAUGACCAGCCACACUGGGACUGAGACACGGCCCAGACUCCUACGGGAGGCAGCAGUGGGGAAUAUGGCGCAAUGGGGGCAACCUGACGCAGCCAUGCCGCGUGAAUGAAGAAGGGCUUCGGGUUGUAAAGUUAUUUAGGUAGCGAGGCGUUAACUACAGAAGAAGCAACGGCUAAGUCCGUGCCAGCAGCGGCGGUAUUC
rnacentral:rRNA from 1 species